UACGUAGGGGGCAAGCGUUGUCCGGAUUUAUUGGAGCGUAAAGAGCGUGUAGGCGGCUUUACAGGUCCGUUGUGAAAACUCGAGGCUCAACCUCGAGACGCCGGUGGAAACCGUAAGGCUAGAGUCCGGAAGAGGAGAGUGGAAUUCCUGGUGUAGCGGUGAAAUGCGUAGAUAUCAGGAGGAACACCGGUGGUGUAGACGGCUUACUGGACCACGACUGACACUGAGGCACGAAAGCGUGGGUAGCAAACAGG
rnacentral:rRNA from 1 species